rnacentral:misc_RNA from 1 species
CGACUGAGCAGACCAACCGGGAUUACCUCAGUAACGGCGAGUGAAGCGGUAACAGCUCAAAUUUGAAAUCUGGCUCCUGCGGAGUCCGAGUUGUAAUUUGUAGAAGAUGCUUUGGGAGGUAGGCUCGGCCUAAGUUCCUUGGAACAGGACAUCAGAGAGGGUGAGAAUCCCGUAUGUGGCCGUGGCCUACGCCCGUGUAAAGCUCUUUCGACGAGUCGAGUUGUUUGGGAAUGCAGCUCAAAAUGGGUGGUAAAUUUCAUCUAAAGCUAAAUAUUGGCCAGAGACCGAUAGCGCACAAGUAGAGUGAUCGAAAGAUGAAAAGCACUUUGGAAAGAGAGUUAAACAGUACGUGAAAUUGUUGAAAGGGAAGCGCUUGCACCCAGACUUGGGCGUCGUCGAUCAUCCGAGGUUCUCCUCGGUGCACUCGGCGAGGCACAGGCCAGCAUCGGUUUGGAUGGUUGGAGAAAGGCUCUAGGAAUGUAGCUCUCUUCGGGGAGUGUUAUAGCCUAGGGCGUAAUGCAGCCCAUCCGGACCGAGGACCGCGCCUUCGGGCUAGGAUGCUGGCGUAAUGGUUGCAAGCGACCCGUCUUGAAAGCGGAAACCAAGGAA